rnacentral:rRNA from 1 species
UACGUAGGGUGCAAGCGUUGUCCGGAAUUAUUGGGCGUAAAGAGCUCGUAGGCGGUCUGUCGCGGCGGCUGGUGAAAACCCCGGGGGCUCAACCCCGGGCCUGCAGGUCGAUACGGGCAGACUAGAGUGCGGUAGGGGAGACUGGAAUUCCUGGUGUAGCGGUGAAAUGCGCAGAUAUCAGGAGGAACACCGGUGGCGAAGGCGGGUCUCUAGUACGGUACUGACGCUGAGACGCGAAAGCGUGGGGAGCGAACAGG